GGUGAAAAGCACCCCGGAAGGGGAGUGAAAUAGAACCUGAAACCGUGUGCUUACAAGUAGUCAGAGCCCGUUAAUGGGUGAUGGCGUGCCUUUUGUAGAAUGAACCGGCGAGUUACGAUUUGAUGCAAGGUUAAGCAGUAAAUGUGGAGCCGUAGCGAAAGCGAGUCUGAAUAGGGCGUUUAGUAUUUGGUCGUAGACCCGAAACCAGGUGAUCUACCCUUGGUCAGGUUGAAGUUCAGGUAACACUGAAUGGAGGACCGAACCGACUUACGUUGAAAAGUGAGCGGAUGAACUGAGGGUAGCGGAGAAAUUCCAAUCGAACCUGGAGAUAGCUGGUUCUCUCCGAAAUAGCUUUAGGGCUAGCCUCAAGUGAUGAUUAUUGGAGGUAGAGCACUGUUUGGACGAGGGGCCCCUCUCGGGUUACCGAAUUCAGACAAACUCCGAAUGCCAAUUAAUUUAACUUGGGAGUCAGAACAUGGGUGAUAAGGUCCGUGUUCGAAAGGGAAACAGCCCAGACCACCAGCUAAGGUCCCAAAAUAUAUGUUAAGUGGAAAAGGAUGUGGCGUUGCCCAGACAACUAGGAUGUUGGCUUAGAAGCAGCCAUCAUUUAAAGAGUGCGUAAUAGCUCACUAGUCGAGUGACACUGCGCCGAAAAUGUACCGGGGCUAAACAUAUUACCGAAGCUGUGGAUUGUCCUUUGGACAAUGGUAGGAGAGCGUUCUAAGGGCGUUGAAGCAUGAUCGUAAGGACAUGUGGAGCGCUUAGAAGUGAGAAUGCCGGUGUGAGUAGCGAAAGACGGGUGAGAAUCCCGUCCACCGAUUGACUAAGGUUUCCAGAGGAAGGCUCGUCCGCUCUGGGUUAGUCGGGUCCUAAGCUGAGGCCGACAGGCGUAGGCGAUGGAUAACAGGUUGAUAUUCCUGUACCACCUAUAAUCGUUUUAAUCGAUGGGGGGACGCAGUAGGAUAGGCGAAGCGUGCGAUUGGAUUGCACGUCUAAGCAGUAAGGCUGAGUAUUAGGCAAAUCCGGUACUCAUUAAGGCUGAGCUGUGAUGGGGAGAAGACAUUGUGUCUUCGAGUCGUUGAUUUCACACUGCCGAGAAAAGCCUCUAGAUAGAAAAUAGGUGCCCGUACCGCAAACCGACACAGGUAGUCAAGAUGAGAAUUCUAAGGUGAGCGAGCGAACUCUCGUUAAGGAACUCGGCAAAAUGACCCCGUAACUUCGGGAGAAGGGGUGCUCUUUAGGGUUAACGCCCAGAAGAGCCGCAGUGAAUAGGCCCAAGCGACUGUUUAUCAAAAACACAGGUCUCUGCUAAACCGUAAGGUGAUGUAUAGGGGCUGACGCCUGCCCGGUGCUGGAAGGUUAAGAGGAGUGGUUAGCUUCUGCGAAGCUACGAAUCGAAGCCCCAGUAAACGGCGGCCGUAACUAUAACGGUCCUAAGGUAGCGAAAUUCCUUGUCGGGUAAGUUCCGACCCGCACGAAAGGCGUAACGAUUUGGGCACUGUCUCAACGAGAGACUCGGUGAAAUCAUAGUACCUGUGAAGAUGCAGGUUACCCGCGACAGGACGGAAAGACCCCGUGGAGCUUUACUGUAGCCUGAUAUUGAAAUUCGGCACAGCUUGUACAGGAUAGGUAGGAGCCUUUGAAACGUGAGCGCUAGCUUACGUGGAGGCGCUGGUGGGAUACUACCCUAGCUGUGUUGGCUUUCUAACCCGCACCACUUAUCGUGGUGGGAGACAGUGUCAGGCGGGCAGUUUGACUGGGGCGGUCGCCUCCUAAAAGGUAACGGAGGCGCUCAAAGGUUCCCUCAGAAUGGUUGGAAAUCAUUCAUAGAGUGUAAAGGCAUAAGGGAGCUUGACUGCGAGACCUACAAGUCGAGCAGGGUCGAAAGACGGACUUAGUGAUCCGGUGGUUCCGCAUGGAAGGGCCAUCGCUCAACGGAUAAAAGCUACCCCGGGGAUAACAGGCUUAUCUCCCCCAAGAGUUCACAUCGACGGGGAGGUUUGGCACCUCGAUGUCGGCUCAUCGCAUCCUGGGGCUGUAGUCGGUCCCAAGGGUUGGGCUGUUCGCCCAUUAAAGCGGUACGCGAGCUGGGUUCAGAACGUCGUGAGACAGUUCGGUCCCUAUCCGUCGUGGGCGUAGGAAAUUUGAGAGGAGCUGUCCUUAGUACGAGAGGACCGGGAUGGACAUACCUCUGGUGUACCAGUUGUCGUGCCAACGGCAUAGCUGGGUAGCUAUGUGUGGACGGGAUAAGUGCUGAAAGCAUCUAAGCAUGAAGCCCCCCUCAAGAUGAGAUUUCCCAACUUCGGUUAUAAGAUCCCUCAAAGAU
rnacentral:rRNA from 1 species